rnacentral:rRNA from 1 species
CCCAAAACUCCAAGGACUUGACGGUGUCUCACACACCCUAGAGGAGCCUGUCCUAUAAUCGAUACCCCACGCUACACCCAACCUUCCCUAGCUAAACUCAACCUAUAUACCGCCGUCGUCAGUUCGCCUAAUGAUAGUCACACACAGCAAACAAAACACUUUAAACCACUAGCACGUCAGGUCAAGGUGUAGUUAAUGAGAAGGCAGAGAUGGGCUACAUUCUCCAACACCGAGAACACCAACAGCAAUCUGAAACAAUGCGCCAAAAGGUGGAUUUAGCAGUAAACCAAGCAAGACAUGCCUGACUGAAGCCAGCCCUGAGACGCGUACACACCGCCCGUCACCCUCAUCAACAGCAACCAGAUAAACUACAUAAGACCAAAAUACGCCACCAGAUGAGACAAG